GCGAGAGAUCCCGUCCGCCCCAGCCGCGUCUGGGCCAGGAGAAAAGCAAAACCAUAUUCCUGCUGCUGUCAGUUUUGAUGCACUGAGAAAACUUCAGAGACCUAAGCUUUUUCCAGAGAAGAGAAGCUUUACUGGUGUUCCAGCCCUAAGGCUCAUAUGACAUUAACAGACAAGACACUUUUCAGAAAGACAGGCAACGUGUUGGACCUUCCGGAGCUUCUCAGAAGACAGAGGGUUUUCUUUUGAGGUAAAUUUGAUAGUACAUUUUGAUAGUACAGGAGGCGAUACGGCAUGGUGACAGAAAAGCGCCGGCUUGGUUAGCGGGACCACCUGGCAGGGCUGCAGGCUGUGCCACUUACCAGGCAGGGGACCUUGGGCCAGCUGCUUGGCCUCACUCACCCUGUUUCCUCAGCUGCAAUUGGGAUGAACAGACUGCCUGCUUCGGGGUUGCCUAAAACUCACAUUGCUUAAUGAUGUGAAAUGCUUAGCGCAGUGCCUGGCAUAGAGAGAAUUCUCAUUAGAUGAUACCUCAGCUGGGCUUUAGGAGCUACAGAAGAAGCUGCAUCUCCAUGAGCUCAGCGUGUUUCUAGCUUUCCUUUUUGUUUUCUAUUCAACCUUUCACCCAACUCAGCUUCUCAAUCCCUAAAUGACAAAGGUUUGGGAAGGAAGACUUGGACCGAUGCUUGCAUUUGUUUCUGAGAAUUAAACGUUAUGUUUUCUUCAAUCCAAAUA
rnacentral:lncRNA from 10 species